GACGAACGCUGGCGGCGUGCUUAACACAUGCAAGUCGAACGCUGAAGCUCAGCUUUUGUUGGGUGGAUGAGUGGCGAACGGGUGAGUAACACGUGAGUAACCUGCCCCCUUCUUUGGGAUAACGCCCGGAAACGGGUGCUAAUACUGGAUAUUCACUGGUCUUCGCAUGGGGGUUGGUGGAAAGGGUUUUUCUGGUGGGGGAUGGGCUCGCGGCCUAUCAGCUUGUUGGUGGGGUGAUGGCCUACCAAGGCUUUGACGGGUAGCCGGCCUGAGAGGGUGACCGGGCACAUUGGGACUGAGAUACGGCCCAGAAUGCUACGGGAGGCAGCAGGGGGGAAUAUUGCACAAUGGGGGAAAGCCUGAUGCAGCGACGCCGCGUGAGGGAUGGAGGCCUUCGGGUUGUGAACCUCUUUCGCUCAUGGUCAAGCCGCAACAAUGGUUGUGGUGAGGGUAGUGGGUAAAGAAGCGCCGGCUAACUACGUG
rnacentral:rRNA from 1 species